UUGUACAUGCUCCUUAAAGGGAUUCCAUUUUAGCUCCAAUUGUAAUUUUUACCUUUUUCAGGGGAAUUUAUUGACACAGUGCCUAGCUCAGCCCUAGUUUUUUUGCCAUCAUCCUUUUGUCUGCAAGCACACUCACCAGCGCUUAAUUUGUCAUAGCCCUGGAGGUAUCAGAACUAAUGAGCUUUGUUUGAAUAGACUUUUUCCAGUUCAUCUAGCACACUUUGGGGUAAUCACUCAGUUUCUGUUUGCUUCGGAUCCGAGGCAUUGUGGGAAAUAUACGGAAAUAAUGGUUAAAAAAGCAGUAUAAAUUGGUAACAGCCACAUUUUCUGCAAAGCCCUGAAGAUGUUAUUUUUUUAAUUUCCCCACUUAUUGAAGUAUCGAGAGUGCUCUAAGUACGACCAUUACAAUAUAAUAUCAGAGGAGAAUCUGAUAAAAUGCUAUUUUUCAAUUAGCCAGGAGUUUAGACUUUGCCUUCUUUGAGCAGUUCAUAGCUAACAAAUCUUUAAACAAUCUAACCUCUUAAGGUUUGGAAGUGGACAGAUAAUAACCAUGCACACAUAACAGUGUGUCAGCGCCGAGAAUUUAAAAAUCUAUUACAGGGAUUACAUACAGGAAUGCUUUUUAUUGGCCGGACAAUUGCAUUUCCAUUUUUUUUUUUUUUCCGAGGCAGGGCCUCACAGUUCCUGUGACACCGCCGAGCACGUGGUGGCAGGGCUAGGACGUGAAGCUGGGGAGACGGUACUGCAACGCGGUGCAGGUGGGGCUGGGGCGUCAGCCUCGAACCUCCGCCUUCUAGGGAGUGUUGUCAUCACCUGUGCCGCCCGGAUCGGCCUCCUGGGUCUAGGGAGCUGGGGCAGGAAGGGCCCGCUGCCCUCGCCCGGGAGCCUGGCCUUGCGGGUGCCUGGACUUCGCGGCCCUGCAUCCCCCCUGCCGUCCCCACACUGCAAAGACCACAAGCUUCUGAGGGGAGGAACCAGCCAUUCGAAUUUUCUCAGGUUCCUCCUCCCCCUCCGCCACCGGGGCCUACGAAAUGCAUCUUGAGACUCCUGCAGAAACAGAAACACCAACCCUGAGGAAGAGGACAGUCAAUGUACUAGGAUCCUAGUGGGUCAUGAGGACACCAGGGAAAUCCGGACUUUGACAUUCAAAAUGUAUCUCCAGGGCCGCCUGGGGGGCUCAGUGGUUGAGCACCUGCCUUCAGCCCAGGGCGUGACCCCGGGGUCCCAGGAUCGAGUCCUGCAUUGGGCUCCCCGCAUGGAGCCUGCUUCUCCUCCCUCUGCCUCUGUCUCUGCCUCUCUCUGUGCAUCUUUCAUGAAUAAAUAAAUAAAAUCUUAAAAAAAAAAAACCCUG
rnacentral:lncRNA from 12 species